rnacentral:lncRNA from 1 species
CCGAAUGUUCCAUAGACAACUUUAAAAUUUUGAAAGUUUCAGAGUUUUAAUUUUCAUAAUAAAACUCUUGUAAGUUACUGAAGGAUUACCUUAUUGCAGAUGGUUGGUGCUUCGUAAUGACACAAACAUAAAUGGCCCGCUUGAAAGGGAGUGGUUACAACGACCAUGAAUCCAUACAAACCCACAGGAGUAAGAUAAUGUCGGAUAGCUAUGUGUUGGUUUCUGAUACUGGAACAUAUGUUAUGUAAGAAAGCAAUUUAACAAUUCAACCCAAUACGAAAUUAAUAAUUAUUACUAAGACUUUUAACCUCCUACCCAC